AUGCACUACCUUUGAACCUGUGUCGUCUUCAUCUGUAACUGCACAGGCCAAGCAAUAGUGCUAAAGAAAAUACUUGUUAUAACUGGGGCUUUUCAGCUCUACAAACUGAGAAGCUCUUUUAAAAGCAGGUCACAUAC